UGCGUAGGCGGAUUAAUAAGUCAGUGGUGAAAACCUGCAGCUUAACUGUAGAACUGCCAUUGAUACUGUUAGUCUUGAGUACGGUCAAGGUAGGCGGAAUGUGUAAUGUAGCGGUGAAAUGCUUAGAUAUUACACAGAACACCGAUUGCGAACGCAGCUUACUGGACCAUUACUGACGCUGAGGCACGAAAGCGUGGGGAGCGAACAGGAUUAGAUACCCUGGUAGUCC
rnacentral:rRNA from 1 species